rnacentral:rRNA from 1 species
ACACGUAAGUGGCGAGCGUUGUUCGGAAUUAUUGGGCGUAAAGGGCGCGUAGGCGGCUCGACAAGUCUGGUGUAAAAGGAUACGGCUUAACCGUAAUCAGGCGCUGGAAACUGGCGAGCUAGAGUUCUAGAGGGGGAGCUGGAAUUCCUGGUGUAGGGGUGAAAUCUGUAGAUAUCAGGAAGAACACCGGUGGCGAAGGCGAGCUCCUGGCUGGAUACUGACGCUAAGGCGCGAAAGCGUGGGGAGCGAACAGGAUUAGAAACCCUAGUAGUCC